rnacentral:rRNA from 1 species
UGAGAUGCGAAAGCGUGGGGAGCAAACAGGAUUAGAUACCUGGUAGUCCACGCUGUAAACGAUGUCGAUUUGGAGUUUGGGGGCAUGACCCUUGGGCUCCGGAGCUAACGCGUUAAAUCGACCGCUGGGGAGUACGGCCGCAAGGUUAAAACUCAAAUGAAUUGACGGGGGCCCGCACAAGCGGUGGAGCAUGUGGUUUAAUUCGAUGCAACGCGAAGAACCUUACCUGGUCUUGACAUCCAUAGAAUCUUUCAGAGAUGAGAGAGUGCCUUCGGGAGCUAUGAGACAGGUGCUGCAUGGCUGUCGUCAGCUCGUGUUGUGAAAUGUUGGGUUAAGUCCCGCAACGAGCGCAACCCCUAUCCUUUGUUGCCAGCACGUGAUGGUGGGAACUCAAAGGAGACUGCCGUUGAUAAAGCGGAGGAAGGUGGGGACGACGUCAAGUCAUCAUGGCCCUUACGACCAGGGCUACACACGUGCUACAAUGGCGUAUACAAAGGGAUGCGAAGGUGCGAACUGGAGCGGACCUCACAAAGUACGUCUAAGUCCGGAUUGGAGUCUGCAACUCGACUCCAUGAAGUCGGAAUCGCUAGUAAUCGUGAAUCAGAAUGUCACGGUGAAUACGUUCCCGGGCCUUGUACACACCGCCCGUCACACCAUGGGAGUGGGUUGCACCAGAAGUAGAUAGCUUAACCUUCGGGAGGGCGUUUACCACGGUGUGGUUCAUGACUGGGGUGAAGUCGUAACAAGGUAACCA